AUUAUCCAAACCAAAUGGGGGAAUACAUCUUUAUAGAAACAAGAUGGAGCCACAGGCCUGUCUCAGAAGUGGGUAGUUUCUUCUGCAUGAUGAUAAGGAAAACUGCUAAGCUUGGAAUCUCAAACAAAAACAGAACUCUGGAAGAACUCAGUGAAUCAAACAGCAUCUGUGGAGACAAAUGAUGUAAGUUGACAUUUCAAGUUGAAAC